UCUAUUGAAAGAGAAUCAAAUAUUAUAUAAUAUUCUGAAUAGGAACAAAAAUCGAUAAGGAACAAUGAACACCCAGAUUCGUUAUAAUAUUCAAAAAUAUCUGAAUAUUCAGAAAUCGAUUUACAAUUUUAAAUUUGUAAUGUUCAAUAUUAAUAUAACAAUAUAAUAAUCGAUCUUUAUUCUUAACUGGAAAAAAAAUAAUUAAAAUUUUUAAUAUUCGAUCCGUUUGAACGAAUUCACUUUUUCCAAGUUCGUAUUGAUAAAGAAAUAUCCGAAUAUAUGGAAUAUUUCUAACGUGAAAAAAAACAAAAAGUCGAUCGAUCCCGACUCGCCGAAAGAAUACGAGCAAAUAAUUCAACACAAUUGUUUGCAUGUAGUCGCCCACUACCAAACAUGACCGCGCUGGUUGCCAACGAUAGCCAUUUAUGAAAUUAAAUUUGAUGGUCCGCGGUCGGCUGGUUGCUAUUGGUAUAUUCGAAGUGACGUUGAAUUUCACGGAAUAACAGCGAUCCUUUCAUUCAGCCUCUCUGCACCAGCUCCGGGAUCAGAGAUGCACGAAUUAUUCGUUCAUUUACGAACACAUUCCACCACUUACAAACAUGCAUUUCCACUGGUAAUUCUCGACUCAAACGACACGAAGAAUCUUCGUCGUUUGCAACUAGUUGUGUUUAUAAAUCUCAAAUCUCCUAUUAUUUCGCAUUAUCUCUCUUCUUCCUUUUUGCAUUCUGAUUGCGAACAUUCUAUUUUGUUAUCUUGCUCUCAUUGCGAUUAUUUUUUAAUAAUAGAUCUUUAGGGAUCAAAAAUUGGUAUAUACAAAAAUAGUCGAUUGAAAUUUAUUUAUCAUUAGGCCAAAUGAAGAUAGAGCGGGACAAUUUCAUCUUCAAGGCAAAGCUAAAUCGCAACUUAAUAAAUUAGCCAACUGAUCAUUUCUGUAUAUUAAUUUUUACGUUUGUUGUGCGUUUUAAUCCCUUGAAUCGAUCCUCCAAAACCGUUUCAUUGAAUAUAUUAACGCAGAUACGUUGAAGAUAUUAAUAUCCCGAUAAAAUUUCGUAUACAAAUUCUUCUCUAACACCAUCUUAGAGAGAGAGAAAGAGAGAGAAUCAAUUAACCAAGAUGAGGAAACCAGGUGUUUCCCUGUCGAAUCAUAAAAGCAAAUUAAUACUUGUCUCAACGCGACAUAAGGGAGAAAGAUGAAAAAGAAAGAGAAAAAAGAGAAAAAAAGAAAAAAAACGAAGCGUAGCGGCAAGUUGUCGAUUGUCUCACGUCCGAUUAGUCGGGAACAACGUAAGGGUGAAUCCCCAUGGCGCCGAUACUUUCCAGGCAUCGGGCUAACAAGAAGGAGUACACAGAUGCGUGCUCGGCUCGUAAUUAAAUAAAAAGUCCAUCAGUUAUAGUGGUGUUUCGAAACUGUUGUCGGGCGCCGACAGGAUCAAGGACUCGCGGGAAUUUAGAUGGGAAACACGUCGGUGUUGCCGGUAUCGAUCCUCGAUUACGUCGACGCUUGUAUGCACAGGGUUUCGGUGCCCGAAUUAAAAGCGCUCAUCAAUAAAUGAUUGGGGGUCGAAUCGGUGGAAAAAAAAAAUGCGGAGGCCGAUCGAUACUGUGCAUUCAUUUUUUUGUUUUUUUUUUUAUAACAAUUCACGCAUUCAAUAAUAUGUGUAUAUAUAUAUAUAUUUAAAAAAAAAAGAAAGAGAGAAAAACAUGGAAAAAACAUAAAAAGAAAAAUUGAAACACAACACCUGUGAUAAAGGUAUUGGGCAUAGUGGUUUGCGAUGGAAAUACAACGAUUGGACACCUGUCAAUUCCAGUUUCCAUUAAUUUCCAAAACAAAAAAAAAAAAAAAUAAAAAAAAAGAAAGAAAGAAAGAAAGAAAAACGAAAAAAAAAGAAAAAAAUACGUUUCGCGUACAAAUCUUUUGCACGGAACAAUUCUGUUCGGGGUGCAUUCAGCAGCCUCAUCCGGCGGAGCGCUAAAAACACGUUUUUUGGGAUCGUUUUCGCGCCGACAAACGGGAAACGCGGUUCAACGUCGAGUUGUGCUCGAUUUACAAAUCGUCCGACCGAAGUUGCGACCAUUUUCCGCCUAAAAGUCCGUGAAUUAUAGGCGGCCACGCGCACAGCGAAAGUUAGUGGUCGUUUCGUGGUCCCAACUUUUACAUCACGCGGUCGCUGUAAAUUUGAAAACUGAUUAUAUGAAAUGUACGUAGAUCGCGGUAUUCAAAUGUUAUAGUCUCUCUGAAUAUUAAAAAAAAAUAAUAAUAAAAAAUUUUUUAAAAAUUUCUCGUCUCGUGAAUUGAUUUUCACUCGAUGGGUUAUCUAAAUAUUUUAAAAUUUGAUGUAUAUAAUAUAUGUCGUAACGAUGUGUAUCCGAUGAUACGGAAGAGUUUUGUGGAAAAUGUUUAACAUACGAAGUCAAAUGUUAUUUCACCGUGGUAGACACGUGUCAAGUAGGAAGAAAAUCGAGGAAAAUGACCAAGCAAUAGAAUCGACGUUCGGUAAAUCGACGUCGAUGGCCUCGGCCGCUUCUCCUCGAGAGAUCUCUCUCUCGUAUCUCCCGUUUGGCUUCACCCUAAUCGACCUCGAGGCCCUCCGAAAUUCGGUUCAAUCCAUUUCUGAGGGUAGUUUUCUUUAGCGCACCUGAUCCCACGAAUCACCCUCGGCACGUUCGACGUACGAUCAUUAUUUAAACGCCAGUGGAAUCAUUGUUUAAGGAUCAAGCCAAGCGCUUCUCCACUCGUGUUGUCGUUUUUACAAAUUUGCUGCGAAACUUGGAAAAAAAUUUUUAAAAAGAAAAUAAUCUCACGACUUUAUACGAAAACAAAAUUUUACAUUGUAUUAAUUUUUAUUACUUCAAUAUUCAAUUUCUCGUAUCCUCUUUUCUUGUACAGAUAUUUCUGUACGAUCAAUUGUACAUCGGCCCCUCGUGCAUGGGCCAGCCGAAAGAAAAUUAAACUCGUUCGAAAUUCUUAUUACUAUUAUUAUAUAAGCACGAGAGAAGAAUUUAAUGCGAGGCACCGGAUCAUGAAUCAGACGGGGUAAGCGGGCGCAUUUGUUUGUGAUUAGGUUGAUUGAAGAGGAGUUACACAGUAUCGACGUCAGCGACAAUGCUAGGCCGAAAGUUCUAGCGGGCGAUGUCGGCAAAUUGGUGAAAGGGUUGGCUUCAAACUGAAAUUGAGAGGGGUUGGACGUCGCCGGUACCCAACAUCAGAAGGGCAGAGGCGGGAUACGACGCUUCUGGGCUGUCGUGAACCCUGGGCUGGAGCCACCGGUGUACUUGGCAGAGAGUGCUUUUCAUCUCCGUAAAUGGACCGGCGAUUGGUGGAAAUAGUAAAAGGAGAAGAGGAUGGAUGGUAAAUUUUCAAAGGCUGCAACAUCGAUCUUAACGAGCAUAAAAACGCGUACCGACGUUAUUUCGGGCGACCUCGCGAGAUAUCCAAUUCAAAAAUCUCGUUCGCAAUCGAAUCGUUGUUUAAAUGUCGGCGACCCUCGUUGACCCAGUUCACUUGCCGUAGCGUUAGAUUUACCGCAGCGAGAAAGAAGGAGGAAUGGAGAGAAGAAUAAGUGGGAGAGAGAAAGAGGGAGAGUGAACAUACAGAGAGAAAGAGAGAGAAUUGGCUCGUAGCAGAAAGUAUCAACGUUUAAUCCAACCUGAUUGCAUUCGGUCGUGCGACGAUUUUACGAGCGCGCUCAAAACGGCCUGGCAAACACAUUUUCCUUUUCGUGAAUUUUUUUCCUGCAAUCACCACCGAGAUGAGCAAACGUUCGUAAACGUUCGUGCAUCCCUCGUUCGCUUCUGACCUGGCAACUAAUUUUUGUCCACUAGGAGAAGAAAUCCAGCGAAACGAAGUGCCUGGGGAGAGUUGACGAAUUUAUCGAUUCGCAUACAGGGUAAAAAUUGCACGCGUACACACGAGAGAUUUGAAACAGUUUAUUCGAUUAUCGAAACUAUAAGAUCAAAAGCAUCGUUCGUUCAACAAUAUAUUUUAAUAUUUGAUUAUUGUUCACGCGGGACGAGAAACCAAUGAGACGCGUAAAAAUAAAGGAUUUUUUAUCGAGUCACAGCAAUCAAUUCAACCAAUUCACAUCUAUAUCGGUUAUUUAAUUAUUUUUUUCUGCUUAAAUUAUGCGUUUAUUCGCCUCCCCAAGCUCGAAUUGAAAAUAGGAUAGAAAUUUCUCUUUUAAAUUAAUUAAACAAGAAAGCUUCUAAAUCUUCUGAAGUUAAUUAAAAAACAAAUUUCUCGCGUAAGUGAGAUUUACAAUAAAGAUAUUAUCGAUUUCGAGAACAUGCAAUCCAUACCUUCAGCUCUUAGAUCGGAAAGUGUCGGAAGAAUCAAUCGGAUAGAUGCAUAACGCACCAUUUAUCAUAGAGUGAAAUUGUUACGUCGAUAGAUCCCGAUACUCAUCGAAGCAAAGAAAAAGACGGCUAGACACGGGGAGACAGAGAGAGUAACUUUCCUCCGCACGCUUUGCGGCCGUGAAGAAGAAGGGGGUUGUGCCGCUUUUGUCGUGCUGCACAGACGCGUGGAAAAGAAGAGGCCGAUGGGCAGCCUCUUUAAAGAGUAAUUACGCCUACACUCGAUGUAUCCUGCGCCCCGUUAAUAUUCUUCAUCGUUUUUUCAGGUGAAUACGUGUUUGUUUGCCAUUGUUCCAUCCUCGAGGCAGCCAUUUAAAGUCCCAUACGCGUCGAAUCCUUUAGAAACUGCGACGAGAGGCGCGGAGAUCGAGGAGCACAAGAGACGAGACUUCAUACGAGACUUCGGUAAGAAAUCGGUACGACGGGCUCCAACUUCUCCAAUAAUACUUUCGACCACCCAUUCGACGAGCCACCCUCCAUUCGGCGAUCCCCCUUUCUCCCCUGGAAAAAGCUCUUUUCAAGUUUUCAUCGAAAAGCAACGCGGUUAUCGCGGCCGGACACAUUCCCCGCCGCCAACGAAUCGCGUUUACUCGUUUAGAACUCUGUUGAUCGUUGUACACUUGAGACCCCAUGGAAGAAAGAUAUAAACGAAACUUUCGUUUCAAAUCUGUAUCGUCGACCGGGUUCGAUUUGAGAGAUGAGAGUAACCAUAACCUCAGACACCGAAAGUGGAUGAUGUGUUUCGCGAAUGAUCGUAAUCCAGAUAAAAAUCUAGUAAAUGGUACACAGAUCUAUGACGUGUUAUAUUAGGAAUAUAUAUAUUCGUAACAAUAUUAAAUUGUUACGAAGUAAAUAACAUGAUAAAUUUUUCUUAACAUCCAAAAUCGUUAAAACACUUAUUUCUAACGAUUAACACAAAUCGUGUAAAUUGACUCGAUACGACCAAAGUAUAAUAUUAAACUGUGAAUUAAAAAAUUAUCUAAAAAAAAAAAAGAACGAUAAGAUUUCCAACAAACAGGAUUCAAAAUAAAGAAAAUAAAGUAAAAUAAGCGAACCGUACUCGCAUUAUACUUUGACAGCCGACUGGUCACCGAAGCGAUUUCGCUGCAGAAAAAUGGAAGCUCGUUAACGGGCGAGGAAAAUCGUUGCUUCGACUUCGUGUUUCGUGGGUCGAAGGUCGUUUCGUGAAUCGGUGGGAAGAGGAUGGAGGAAACGGCGGAUGCGGACUUUGCGGCCGGUGCACAAUACAGUGAAACGCACUUCACUCGGGGGCCACUCCACUCGAAGAGCGCCUAGAUUACGACUGCAAAGGAGACAACCUUUGCGACUUAAGCGGUGAUGGCCGGGGUUCUUACGCCCUUUCUUUCUACGAACUCGUUCGAUUUACGCGUAUUAAAUAUAGAGGCUUUUAAAAGCGAAUCCUGCCACGAGAGGGAAAGAAGAGGAAGAAGGGGAGAGGAAAGUGGAAGGACGCGCACGCAAUCCGAGACAAUAUCCCGUUUUGGCUAAGAGGAUCGCCGUCUCGGUGGCAGUUUUAAUAAAUUUCGCCGAUUUCUACGCUCACCGUGGAUUGCAACGUCGUGGAUUGCGACUACCUACGAAUAAACGGACAGAAUCCCCGUACUUUCGGUUUAUUAUACUUCGUUAGAACCAUGACCCCGAUUUUGUAAAUCGUUUUAAUAUCAUCAAUGUUCUAUAUGUUUGUAACAAACUUUUAUGUUUCAAAAAAUAAAUAAAAAUGUGAAAAAUUUAAAAA